UACAGUUAUGUGACUGUAUUCUGUAAAUAACCGUAUCACUUAAAAUAUGGUUGAUACAGUGAUACGGUUAUUUACAGAAUACAGUCACAUAACUGUA